AUUGAACGCUGGCGGCAGGCCUAACACAUGCAAGUCGAACGAGUGGCAGACGGGUGAGUAAUGUCUGGGAAACUGCCUGAUGGAGGGGGAUAACUACUGGAAACGGUAGCUAAUACCGCAUACUAUCGGAUGUGCCCAGUUGGGAUUAGCUAGUAGGUGGGGUAAAGGCUCACCUAGGCGACGAUCCCUAGCUGGUAUGAGAGGAUGACCAGCCAAACUGGAACUAGGAAACGGUCCGGCCUCCUACGGGAGGCAGCAGUGGGGAUUAUUGCACAAUGGGCGCAAGCCUGAUGCAGCCAUGCCGCGGUGAUGAAGAGGGCCUUCGGGUGUUAAAGUACUUUCAGCGGGGAAGCGUUACCCGCAGAAGAAGCACCGGCUAACUCCGUGCCAGCAGCCGCGGUAAUUC
rnacentral:rRNA from 1 species